rnacentral:tRNA from 1 species
GGAAAAGUGGCAGAGUUGGUUAAAUGUAUCUGACUUGAAAUCAGAAGAAUAAUUAUUCCGUGGGUUCAAAUCCCACCUUUUCCU